GGAUGUGAGGGCGAUCUGGCUGCAACAUCUGUCACUCCAUUGAUCGCCAGGGUUGAUUUGGCUGAUCUGGCUGGCUAGGCAGGUGUCCCCUUCCUCUCUCACUGCUCCAUGUGUGUCCCUCCUGAAGCUGUGCGCUCGGUGGAAGAGGACGAUGUCCCAGGUAUAGGAGUAGCUUUGGUCCCAGGUAUACAAUAGCUGCGCUCCCCUGCUACAACCUCCAAAUAAGCUCAAGGGUCAGAGAAGGAAAAUAUUAAAUUCAAACCUAAAUUCUUGUAAUAUUCGCUGGUUAGC
rnacentral:snRNA from 1 species